rnacentral:rRNA from 1 species
GAAGUAAAAGUCGUAACAAGGUCUCCGUUGGUGAACCAGCGGAGGGAUCAUUACCGAGUUUACAACUCCCCAAACCCCUGUGAACAUACCUUAAUGUUGCCUCGGCGGAUCAGCCCGCGCCCCGUAAAACGGGACGGCCCGCCAGAGGACCCAAACUCUAAUGUUUCUUAUUGUAACUUCUGAGUAAAACAAACAAAUAAAUCAAAACUUUCAACAACGGAUCUCUUGGUUCUGGCAUCGAUGAAGAACGCAGCAAAAUGCGAUAAGUAAUGUGAAUUGCAGAAUUCAGUGAAUCAUCGAAUCUUUGAACGCACAUUGCGCCCGCUGGUAUUCCGGCGGGCAUGCCUGUUCGAGCGUCAUUUCAACCCUCAAGCCCCCGGGUUUGGUGUUGGGGAUCGGCUCUGCCUUCUGGCGGUGCCGCCCCCGAAAUACAUUGGCGGUCUCGCUGCAGCCUCCAUUGCGUAGUAGCUAACACCUCGCAACUGGAACGCGGCGCGGCCAUGCCGUAAAACCCCAACUUCUGAAUGUUGACCUCGGAUCAGGUAGGAAUACCCGCUGAACUUAAGCAUAUCA